CUGGAACAGGAACUUCCUCUAGUAACGCCACAGGAGCCAGACCUCGUCUGCCAUUCACCUGAAACACAUAGUCACUCAAUUUCAAUGAAACACAGUAACUGAAAAGGAACACAUCAAGACCGUUGGACUUGCUGAGUCGGAUGAGGUGGACCUUCUCCGCAUAGAGACCGUUGGAGCCCAGGGUUUGAACACUGAUGUGGACCGGGCCGGACAGAUCCAGAUUCUCCAGAAUACACUGAAAGAGAGGACAAGAUACACAUUGUCAUCUUCAACCAUUCAACUGAUGAUAC